GAAAGUGAUGCUAAUACCGAAUGACAUCUUGAAAACAUAUGUUUUCAAGAUCAAAGGUGGCCUCUACAUGUAAGCUAUUGUUUGGGGAUGAGCCCGCGUACCAUUAGCUUGUUGGUAGGGUAAUGGCCUACCAAGGCUACGAUGGUUAGCUGGUCUGAGAGGAUGAUCAGCCACACUGGAACUGACACACGGUCCAGACUCCUACGGGAGGCAGCAGUGAGGAAUUUUGCGCAAUGGGGGAAACCCUGACGCAGCAACGCCGCGUGAGUGAUGAAGGCUUUCGGGUCGUAAAGCUCUGCCAAGUGGGAAGAAACCAUAUGGUGUUAAUAUCAUCAUAUGCUGACGGUACCACUGAAGGAAGCACCGGCUAACUCCGUGCCAGCAGCCGCGGUAAUACGGGGGGUGUGAGCGUUAUUCGGAAUUACUGGGCGUAAAGAGCGCGUAGGCGGUCUUUUAAGUCAGGUGUGAAAGCCCGGGGCUCAACCCCGGAAGUGCACUUGAAACUAAAAGACUUGAGUAUGGGA
rnacentral:rRNA from 1 species